GGCGCGCUUACACAUGCAAGUCGCACGAGAAAGCGGGGGCAACCUCGCAAGUAAAGUGGCGUACGGGUGAGUAACACGUGGGUAAUCUACCUCCGAGUGGGGAAUAACGCUGGGAAACCGGCGCUAAUACCGCAUAAGCUCGAGAGAGGAAAGCAGCAAUGCGCUGGGAGAGGAGCCCGCGGCCGAUUAGCUAGUUGGAGAGGUAAAGGCUCCCCAAGGCAAAGAUCGGUAGCCGGCCUGAGAGGGCACACGGCCACACUGGCACUGAAACACGGGCCAGACUCCUACGGGAGGCAGCAGUGGGGAAUCUUGCACAAUGGGGGAAACCCUGAUGCAGCGACGCCGCGUGAGCGAUGAAGCCCUUCGGGGUGUAAAGCUCUUUCGGCAGGGAAGAUGAUGACGGUACCUGCAGAAGCAGCUGCGGCUAACUACGUGCCAGCAGCCGCGGUAAUACGUAGGCAGCGAGCGUUGUUCGGAGUUACUGGGCGUAAAGGGUGUGUAGGCGGUUCUCUAAGUUUGGUGUGAAAUCUCCCGGCUCAACCGGGAGGGUGCGCCGAAAACUGGAGA
rnacentral:rRNA from 1 species